rnacentral:rRNA from 1 species
UACGGAGGAUGCAAGCGUUAUCCGGAUUUAUUGGGCGUAAAGCGUCCGCAGGUGGUUAUGUAAGUCUGCUGUCAAAGCGCGAGGCUUAACUUCGUAAAGGCAGUGGAAACUGUGUGACUAGAGGAUGGUAGGGGUAGCGGGAAUUCCCAGUGUAGCAGUGAAAUGCGUAGAGAUGUGGAGGAACACCGAUGGCGAAGGCAGCCCCCUGGGUCAAGAUUGACGCUCAUGCACGAAAGCGUGGGGAGCAAACAGG